rnacentral:rRNA from 1 species
GGCUCAGGAUGAACGCUAGCGGCAGGCUUAACACAUGCAAGUCGAGGGGUAGAGGAAGCUUGCUUCCUUGAGACCGGCGCACGGGUGCGUAACGCGUAUGCAACCUACCUUUUACAGAGGGAUAGCCCAGAGAAAUUUGGAUUAAUACCUCAUGGUAUAUAUCAUUCGCAUGUUUGAUAUAUUAAAGUUCCAACGGUAAAGAUGGGCAUGCGUCCUAUUAGCUAGAUGGUAAGGUAACGGCUUACCAUGGCAACGAUAGGUAGGGGUCCUGAGAGGGAGAUCCCCCACACUGGUACUGAGACACGGACCAGACUCCUACGGGAGGCAGCAGUGAGGAAUAUUGGACAAUGGGCGCAAGCCUGAUCCAGCCAUGCCGCGUGCAGGAAGAAGCAUCUAUGGUGUGUAAACUGCUUUUGUACGGGAAGAAACACUCCUUCGUGAAGGAGCUUGACGGUACCGUAAGAAUAAGGAUCGGCUAACUCCGUG